UACGUAGGGUGCGAGCGUUAAUCGGAAUUACUGGGCGUAAAGCGUGCGCAGGCGGCUUGCCAAGUCAGAUGUGAAAGCCCCGGGCUCAACCCGGGAACUGCGUUUGAAACUGGCAGGCUAGAGUUUGGCAGAGGGGGGUGGAAUUCCACGUGUAGCAGUGAAAUGCGUAGAGAUGUGGAGGAACACCGAUGGCGAAGGCAGCCCCCUGGGCUAACACUGACGCUCAGGCACGAAAGCGUGGGGAGCAAACAGG
rnacentral:rRNA from 1 species